rnacentral:rRNA from 1 species
GAUGAACGCUGGCGGCGUGCCUAAUACAUGCAAGUCGAACGCAUUGAGAGAAGUGCUUGCACUUUUCAAUUUGAGUGGCGAACGGGUGAGUAACACGUGGGCAACCUACCUGAUAGCGGGGGAUAACGAGUGGAAACAUUCGCUAAUACCGCAUAACAAUAGAGGAGGCAUCUUCUUUAUUUAAAAGGCGCUUUCAAGCGUCACUAUCAGAUGGGCCCGCGGUGCAUUAGUUAGUUGGUGGGGUGAAGGCCUACCAAGACGAUGAUGCAUAGCCGAGUUGGGAGACUAAGCGGCCACAUUGGGACUGAGACACGGCCCAAACUCCUACGGGAGGCUGCAGUAGGGAAUCUUCCACAAUGGACGAAAGUCUGAUGGAGCAACGCCGCGUGUGUGAUGAAGGCUUUCGGGUCGUAAAGCACUGUUGUAUGGGAAGAAAUGCUAGGCUAGGAAAUGAGCUUAGUUUGACGGUACCAUACCAGAAAGGGACGGCUAAAUACGUGCCAGCCGCCGCCGUAA